CUACUGGAAACGGUAG
rnacentral:rRNA from 1 species